GACGAACGCUGGGCGGCGUGCCUCAAACAUGCAAGUCGAGCGGGGAACUUUUAAAAGCGCAAGUCUUUGUAAGUUCCUAGCGGCGAACGGGUGAGUAACACGUAGGAAUCUACCCUUAAGACGGGGACAACCCAGGGAAACUUGGGCUAAUACCGGAUGAGAGUGCGAGAGGUUGCAUUUAAAAGGAUGGCGAAAGUUGUCGCUUAGGGAUGAGCCUGCGGUCUAUUAGUUAGUUGGUGAGGUAAGAGCUCACCAAGGCGAUGAUAGAUAGGCGGCCUUAACGGGUGGUCGCCCACACUGGGAUUGAGAUACGGCCCAGACUCCUACGGGAGGCAGCAGUCGAGAAUAGUCUACAAUGGCCGGAAGGCUGAUAGUGCGACGCCGCGUGAACGAGGGAGCCCUUCGGGGUGUAAAGUUCUUUUCUAUACGAGCAGUGCUAUAUAUAUGGAUAGUAUAUAUAGAAGGAUAGUAGUAUAGGAAUAAGCAACGGCUAACUCCGUG
rnacentral:rRNA from 1 species